AUCACUGAUGAAAUCUUGCGGC
rnacentral:miRNA from 1 species